AUUACCUUCUUCCAAUACACAAGUUGCGGUCAAGAAAGUCUCACAUGAUUCUCAACAAGGAAUUAAGGAAUUUGUUGCUGAGAUUGUUACCCUGGGGAGGCUAAGGCAUAGGAAUCUGGUACAGCUCCUAGGUUAUUGCCGUCGAAAGGGAGAGCUGCUCUUGGUAUAUGAUUAUAUGCCUAAUGGAAGCCUUGACAAACUCCUAUUUCACAAUGACACACCAAACUUGAAUUGGGUUCGGCGAUAUCAAAUCCUGAGAGGAGUUGCAUCUGCCCUUCUUUAUCUCCAUGAAGAGUGGGAACAAGUUGUUCUGCACAGAGAUGUGAAAGCUAGUAAUGUUAUGCUAGGUGCUGAUCUUAAUGGACGGUUAGGAGAUUUUGGGCUAGCUAAGUUCUAUGAUCAUGGAUCAAUUCCUCAAACAACCUGUGUGGUGGGAACUGUGGGAUACCUUGCACCAGAGGUUUCAAGAACAGGAAG
rnacentral:misc_RNA from 1 species